GAAGAAAGAAGAGAAGAAAGAAGAGAAAAAGGAAGGGGAAAAGCCAAAAGUGAUGGUGCAACCGGUUCAAGGCUAUCCGCCGCUGCCAUACUCUGUUCACUGCACUUCAUGUUACGAGGGUCGACCCUGUUACCAAUACCACGGCUACGGGAUACCGGCGGCGCCACCCUGCUACGUUGGGAGGCCGAUUUACGAUAGCUAUGGCGGUGGCGGUGGGUACGGCGGUGGAUACAGCGGCGGAAGGGGAUAUUAUGCGGGGCCUUCUUCUGAUUACUACAACCCAGAAAAUCCAACGGGAUGCUCUGUCAUGUGAUGAAUCAAAUCCGCUAUGAGAUGAGACCCAUUUUCGUAAUUGUGAUCCUCACGGUAAAUUAUGAACAAUGUUGAAAAUUUGUGUCAUUUCUGUUUUUUUGUGUUGAAAAAUUACAAGCGUUUCUUUUAAGAAAAAUAAAAGAGGGGGGAAAUCAAAUGAAAUGGAAUAGAAGGGUUACUUUUGUUUGUUUGGUUAUGUUACGUGUAUAAACUAUAAAGUUUGUCCUGUUUAUAGAUUCUCUCG
rnacentral:misc_RNA from 1 species